rnacentral:rRNA from 1 species
ACGCUGGCGGCGCGCCUAACACAUGCAAGUCGAACGGAGAUUAUUAGGGAGCUUGCUCCUUGGCAAUCUUAGUGGCGGACGGGUGAGUAACGCGUGAGUAACCUGCCCUCAGGAGGGGAAUAACGUCUGGAAACGGACGCUAAUACCGCAUGACAUAGCGGAGGGGCAUCCCUCUGUUAUCAAAGAUUUAUCGCCUGAGGAUGGACUCGCGUCCGAUUAGAUAGUUGGUGGGGUAACGGCUCACCAAGUCGACGAUCGGUAGCCGGACUGAGAGGUUGAACGGCCACAUUGGGACUGAGACACGGCCCAGACUCCUACGGGAGGCAGCAGUGGGGGAUAUUGCACAAUGGGGGAAACCCUGAUGCAGCGACGCCGCGUGAGGGAAGACGGUUUUCGGAUUGUAAACCUCUGUCUUCAGGGACGAAACAAAUGACGGUACCUGAGGAGGAAGCCACGGCUAACUACGUGCCAGCAGCCGCGGUAAUACGUAGGUGGCAAGCGUUGUCCGGAAUUACUGGGUGUAAAGGGAGCGUAGGCGGGUUUGCAAGUUGACUGUGAAAUCUAUGGGCUCAACCCAUAGCUGCGAUCAAAACUGCAGAUCUUGAGUGAAGUAGAGGCAGGCGGAAUUCCUAGUGUAGCGGUGAAAUGCGUAGAUAUUAGGAGGAACACCAGUGGCGAAGGCGGUCUGCUGGGCUUUAACUGACGCUGAUGCUCGAAAG